rnacentral:rRNA from 1 species
CGCCAGAGCCAUAUCUCCCUGGAGUUCUCACCUGGUUUCCCACUGAAGCUAAGCAUGGUUGAGCCUGGCCAAUACCUGGAUGGGACACCUCUUGGGGAAAAGUGGUAUUAGCGA